UACGUAGGAGGCAAGCGUUGUCCGGAAUUACUGGGUGUAAAGCGCGUGUAGGCGGCAGGCCAAGUCUGUGGUGAAAUCGCUCGGCUCAACUGGGCGGGGUCCAUGGAAACUGGUCAGCUGGAGGACGGUAGAGGUGAGUGGAAUUCCCGGUGUAGUGGUGAAAUGCGUAGAUAUCGAGAGGAACACCUGCGGCGAAGGCGGGUUGCUGGGCUGACACUGACGCUGAUGCGCGAAAGCCAGGGGAGCGAACGGG
rnacentral:rRNA from 1 species